rnacentral:rRNA from 1 species
CUACGGGUCGCUCCAGUGGGGAAUAUUGGACAAUGGGCGCAAGCCUGAUCCAGCAAUGCCGCGUGAGUGAAGACGGCCUUAGGGUUGUAAAACUCUUUCGCUAGGGAAGAUAAUGACUGUACCUACUAAAGAAGUCCCGGCUAACUCCGUGCCAGCAGCCGCGGUAAUACGGAGGGGACUAGCGUUGUUCGGAAUUACUGGGCGUAAAGAGUUCGUAGGCGGACUGACAAGUUAGAGGUGAAAUCCCAGGGCUCAACCCUGGAACUGCCUUUAAAACUGUCAGUCUAGAGACCGGAAGAGGUUAGGGGAAUACCUAGUGUAGAGGUGAAAUUCGUAGAUAUUAGGUGGAACACCAGUGGCGAAGGCGCCUAACUGGUCCGGUACUGACGCUGAGGAACGAAAGCGUGGGGAGCAAACAGGAUUAGAUACCCCUGUAGUC